GACGAACGCUGGCGGCGUGCUUAACACAUGCAAGUCGAACGGAAAGGCCCUGCUUGCAGGGUACUCGAGUGGCGAACGGGUGAGUAACACGUGGGUGAUCUGCCCUGCACUUCGGGAUAAGCCUGGGAAACUGGGUCUAAUACCGGAUAGGAGCCAUUUUUAGUGUGAUGGUUGGAAAGUUUUUUCGGUGUAGGAUGAGCUCGCGGCCUAUCAGCUUGUUGGUGGGGUAAUGGCCUACCAAGGCGGCGACGGGUAGCCGGCCUGAGAGGGUGGACGGCCACAUUGGGACUGAGAUACGGCCCAGACUCCUACGGGAGGCAGCAGUGGGGAAUAUUGCACAAUGGGCGCAAGCCUGAUGCAGCGACGCCGCGUGGGGGAUGACGGCCUUCGGGUUGUAAACUCCUUUCGCUAGGGACGAGGCUUUUUGUGACGGUACCUAGAGAAGAAGCACCGGCUAACUACGUG
rnacentral:rRNA from 1 species